rnacentral:rRNA from 1 species
AUUGAACGCUGGCGGCAGGCCUAACACAUGCCAGUCGAACGGUAACAGGAAGAAGCUUGCUUCUUUGCUGACGAGUGGCGGACGGGUGAGUAAUGUCUGGGAAACUGCCUGAGGGAGGGGGAUAACUACUGGAAACGGUAGCUAAUACCGCAUAACGUCGCAAGACCAAAGAGGGGGACCUUCGGGCCUCUUGCCAUCGGAUGUGCCCAGAUGGGAUUAGCUAGUAGGUGGGGUAACGGCUCACCUAGGCGACGAUCCCUAGCUGGUCUGAGAGGAUGACCAGCCACACUGGAACUGAGACACGGUCCAGACUCCUACGGGAGGCAGCAGUGGGGAAUAUUGCACAAUGGGCGCAAGCCUGAUGCAGCCAUGCCGCGUGUAUGAAGAAGGCCUUCGGGUUGUAAAGUACUUUCAGCGGGGAGGAAGGGAGUAAAGUUAAUACCUUUGCUCAUUGACGUUACCCGCAGAAGAAGCACCGGCUAACUCCGUG